GAUUAUGGCUCAGGAUAAACGCUGGCGGCGCACAUAAGACAUGCAAGUCGAACGAACUUAACUAUUAGUUACUAACAGAGCGGUUAGUGGCGGACUGGUGAGUAACGCGUGAGCAACCUGCCUAUCAGAGGGGAACAACAGUUAGAAAUGACUGCUAAUACCGCAUAUGCCUUAGUAACGCAUGUUACAAAAGGGAAAGGAGCAAUCCGCUGAUAGAUGGGCUCGCGUCUGAUUAGAUAGUAGGCGGGGUAACGGCCCACCUAGUCGACGAUCAGUAGGGGUUCUGAGAGGAAGGUCCCCCACAUUGGAACUGAGACACGGUCCAAACUCCUACGGGAGGCAGCAGUGAGGAAUAUUGGUCAAUGGACGGGAGUCUGAACCAGCCAAGUAGCGUGCCAGGAUGACGGCCCUAUGGGUUGUAAACUGCUUUUAUACGGGGAUAAAGUGAGCCACGUGUGGCUUUUUGUAGGUACCGUAUGAAUAAGGACCGGCUAAUUCCGUGCCAGCAGCUGC
rnacentral:rRNA from 1 species